UGUUCUCACUCAUGGCUGAUGGGCAAAGGCGGCUACGGAGGCACAGCUACGUGCAGAUGUCCUUACAGCUUUGCAACCUCCAAGGAAGAAGAGAUGUGGAUUUUAUGGAAUAGGUGCUACGUGGAGGAAUCCUGAGUCAUGGCCAAACAGCAAAUGCCAGCAAGAGUAGAGUAGGAGGCAUUUCUGUGUACACUUUGGGAAAAAGUCCAUUCCUCACUUGGCUUCAUUCCUGGCCUGAGCCACUGUGUCCUCUACCUGAAGCCCUAACCUCUCCAUUACUGACUGGAUCCCAAAGUGCCACAGUUCACCUGCAUGAGGAGGGGGUCAAAGAAUAGAGGAAGUUAAUCCCGGCUGUGCCCAAUGACCCCUUUCCAGUGCUACUCGCGGGCUGAGAGUGACGCACACAGCUUUUUUGAUACCCGGAAGUGAGACAAACUCUUCAGAUGGGGUAAGGAUUUGCAUUCGCAAAUGGUGGAGGGGUCAGUGCGGAUACUGCGGGUGGAAAGAAUGUCUAUAGCCUCAGUAAUUUUGGAAAGCUAUGUGCGAGGCAGCCCGGGCCAACAAAGGUUUGUGGAACAGCUGGAAAAACACAGAGCUUUCAAAGAACACCAAGGAGGAUGCUGCGGCUUCACGCAGAAAUCAGAUCUGGAAAUGUAAUGCACAAGAAGAGUGUGACCCCAGCAGUGACCGUUGCUGUGGCAGGUGGCUUCCUGCCCAGCUGGAGGGAGGAGGGUUGCUGGGGGGAAGUGUGGUAAAUCUUUUCCUGUCCUGCGGGCCCUUGUCCUCCAGGCGGCACGGGCCUGGGGUGUUCCUCCCUCUAGUGGUAAGCAAAGUUCCUUCGGGGGCCCUUUUUCGCUUCAUCUGAAACUAUGCAAAGAGUGAACAAAACAGGAAGAGGCCCAUCAGGUGUCUGCGUAAGAACCAACCAAAAGAUCAAGACUCCUUCCCACUCCAAGCUGCCGGUGGUAGUGCACAGAAUGGCAAAGGCCCUCUGUGACUGUCUUGCCGCAGCGCCUCCCCAGCUUGCCCUUCGGCCCUCCGUCCUGCUGCAGCAGUGGCUUUCGCCAGUUGGGAAACCCAGAGAUCCAAAUUCACUGCUCAGUGUGCAACUAGAGUCUUGUGAAACCUACAGUAAGCUGAAAUCAGAAAAUGUGUGAUGACAAAGCCACAGAGACAGAGCGAAGGGAACAGGCUCCUUGGGGACAGGGAUAUGUUCCACAGGGGCCAUUUGAUUCCACUGGGAAUUAUGUUAAUCCUGUGCAGAUAUUUACUGUGGCUUCUCUCCUCAAAUGCACUUCCCUCCAACUGAUCAAAUAGUCCCCACUUUCUGGAGGGUUGGGAAUGUGUUUUAUUGUUCUCAACAAUAUCCAGUUUUGGAUGUAAGGGUGAUCUGGCUGCGACAUCUGUCAUCCCACUGAUUGUCAGGGUUGAUUCAGCUGUUCUGGCUGGCUAGGCGAGUGUCUCCUUCCUCCCUUGCUGCUCCACGUGCGCCCCUCCUGAAGCUGCAUGCUCAGUGGAAGAGGACGACCAUCCCCGAUAGAAGAGGACUGGUCUUCCGUCAAGGAUCUAGAGUAGCUGCGCUCCCCCGCUAGAACCUCCAAACAAGCUCUCGAUAAUAUCCAGUCUUAAAAAAAGGAUCUGUUAUGUGUGCUUCAGAACAAGUGGAUAAGUACAAUUGAAGAUUCCAUGUAUAAUUUCAAUCAUCUUUUAGUUAAAAAAAAAAAUUUAACCCAAAGCAUUUUCACAAGGGUUACUCCAACGUGGAGAUCACCAAGUAAAAUGGAGGAGAAGGACUAAAAGUUUGAGAAAAUGGGCUUCAGUUUGAGCUGAAAUACUAAGUAGAGUCCUACCUAAAGCUGACUUUAUCCCCAAGUGAAAUGGAGAGAAAUCAAGAGGGUAACAUAUGAGAUCAGUCAUCCAUGGCCGUGACAGGGAGUCAGUGAAUAAACAGUUUCAGAGAAUCAACAGCCUGCAAUUCCAUUAAGAUAGUCGAGAGACAGACCCAGGCAUCAUCCUAGCAAAGUGAUAGCCUCUGUCACUUGCAGUGGUUAAACGAUGUGAAGGCAAGACACCAUCAAGCCCACAUCUUAGUGGUUACAAAAAUGGCUGAAGCUAAUUAUGCUGACAAUACAUUAUAUCGACCAAGAUGAAGUCUAACUGGUUUUACUUUAUUUAGAUGAUGUAUCUGGAUUUUUCCUGUUCAAUUUUCUUAGAUCUUUGAGGGAAUUGCUCUGUGUCCAUUCCAAGUAUUUCUGGUGAGUUAUCCAGUUUCCUGGCUUCAGGGGUGUGUUCAGUCCCAAUGCCCCAGCAACAGUGAUCAGAAUAAAGAGGGUGAACGCAAGAUCUAAUAGGCCAAAUCCAUUGAUAUAUGGAUGAUGGCAUGAAAACACGCUUUUUUUUGUUUGUUUUUUUCUAUUGAGAUAGACAUCUGAGGCUGUAGUGGGAAGAGCUUUCUGUAGAAUGAAAGGAAGCAAAGAGAAGCAGAGAGGAGAGGCAGACAAAGACAUUCAACAGCAGUGGCUUCCAGCCUUGGCUAAACAUUGAAUCAACUGGAGAGCUUGAAAAAAUACUGGUGCCUGGAUCCCAGCCCCAGAAAUUUUCAUUUGGUUGGUUUUCAGUGCUGCCUAGGCCUUGGGACUUUUAAAAGCUGUCUUGGAGAUUCUUACAAGCAGCUGAGGAUAGAAAUCACUUGUCUUGCAGCACCAGGUUACAUUUGAUCCCAGGGCACAAAUUCCAGCCGUUCUUCCUUGUUCUGUAACCCAUCUUGGUAUCCUCGGUUGCCAAUAACUUCUCUCUCUCUCUCUCUCUCUCUUUUUUUUUUUUGCUUAAUUUAGUUUGAGUUAAAUUUCUGUUAUUUGCAGCCAAAAGAAGUCUAACUAAGAAACUAAAAAUACUCUGUAAUCACAGCUAACAUUGAUUUAGCCUCAGUGAUGUGCAAGGCACUGUUUGAAGUGCUUACUUGCAUUAACUUGUUUAAUUUAAUCCUUACAGCAUCCCUAUAAUUUGAAAGCCAUUAUUGUUCCUAUUUUACAGGUGAGGAAAUGAGACAUCAAAAGAUUAAGUGACUUGCUAAAAUUUACACUGCCUACGAAAGCUGACCUGAAAUGUGAACCAGAAAUUGUCCUUAACCAAAUCACCUCACUGUCUCUCAAGGUAAAACUAAGUAAGGAGGCAGAUUCUCUGCAUUAAACCCCAAAAUGGGGUCUUCAAACUGCCAUAAUAAAAGUGCUUUAUAAAAAUAA